UCGUAUCCAAAGGGAUGCUGCUGGCUUUCACAGGCCGUGCACUCCCGCCUUUACAUCCACCUGUGCACUUGCUGUAGACUAGGAUUAACUUCCGAGUCUAUGUUUUCAUAUACACUUAAAGUCAAUGAAUGUAUUUAGGCUUCGGCCAAAAAAAAGCAAUA
rnacentral:misc_RNA from 1 species